rnacentral:rRNA from 1 species
AGCGGCGGAUGGGUGAGUAACACGUGGGGAACCUGCCCCUAGGUCUGGGAUACCAUUUGGAAACAGGUGCUAAUACCGGAUAAUAAAGCAGAUCGCAUGAUCAGCUUUUGAAAGGCGGCGUAAGCUGUCGCUAAGGGAUGGCCCCGCGGUGCAUUAGCUAGUUGGUAAGGUAACGGCUUACCAAGGCGACGAUGCAUAGCCGAGUUGAGAGACUGAUCGGCCACAUUGGGACUGAGACACGGCCCAAACUCCUACGGGAGGCAGCAGUAGGGAAUCUUCCACAAUGGACGCAAGUCUGAUGGAGCAACGCCGCGUGAGUGAAGAAGGUUUUCGGAUCGUAAAGCUCUGUUGUUGGUGAAGAAGGAUAGAGGUAGUAACUGGCCUUUAUUUGACGGUAAUCAACCAGAAAGUCACGGCUAACUACGUGCCAGCAGCCGCGGUAAUACGUAGGUGGCAAGCGUUGUCCGGAUUUAUUGGGCGUAAAGCGAGCGCAGGCGGAAAAAUAAGUCUAAUGUGAAAGCCCUCGGCUUAACCGAGGAACUGCAUCGGAAACUGUUUUUCUUGAGUGCAGAAGAGGAGAGUGGAACUCCAUGUGUAGCGGUGGAACGCGUAGAUAUAUGGAAGAACACCAGUGGCGAAGGCGGCUCUCUGGUCUGCAACUGACGCUGAGGCUCGAAAGCAUGGGUAGCGAACAGGAUUAGAUACCCUGGUAGUCCAUGCCGUAAACGAUGAGUGCUAAGUGU